CUCGUAGGUGGUUUGUCGCGUUGUUCGUGAAAACUCACAGCUUAACUGUGGGCGUGCGGGCGAUACGGGCAGACUAGAGUGCGGUAGGGGAGAUUGGAAUUCCUGGUGUAGCGGUGGAAUGCGCAGAUAUCAGGAGGAACACCAAUGGCGAAGGCAGAUCUCUGGGCCGUAACUGACGCUGAGGAGCGAAAGCAGUGGGGAGCGAACA
rnacentral:rRNA from 1 species